ensembl:lncRNA
AAACAACUAUAUGUUAAUGUGAAUUACUACUGGAGAAAUAUCAGUUUAAAAGAAGAAUGGUUUAUUUGGUCUCACAGAUCAAGAAUCUUUUGUUAAUUUAUGUUGUUCUUUUCCAUCUAAAAAAUUUAUUUCUUUGGGAAGUCAAUGAAGUCUGGCAUACCAGGUGGAGGCAGGAUCAAGGCCCUCCCCCUGUAUCAAUGAUGAGCAAGGAAUCCCACACUAGGAAGUAGGCUCUAAAAUACCUGUCUAUGUACCAAAGAUAUGUCCAGAUUCCAGUGACAGGGCUCUCCAUAACAGAUGACAUCACACAACUGUCACCUACAUUCAGAGGGUCUAGUUCAGUCACAUGCAGUUACUCCAGCUGUCAGUCCAUAGUCAACCUAGUCUGUCCCAUCACCUCCUUGAGGCAGGAACAAGGUGACCCCCAUCAUGUGUAGGUUGAGCAAGGUAUCCUUCCAAUCCUUCCAUAGACAAUGUACUCAAACUUGGUCUUCUUGAUCUAUCAUAUUCCCAUCCCCCAUCCUCUCCUUCUACUCAAUCUCCAAGUUUUCCCAGGAGAACUUAAGUAUUUUUCCUUUCUUGGGACCUUUCAUGUAGGUUCCUCUUAUGGUUUCCCUUUUUACCUAGUUUCUCUGGGGUUGUGAAUUAUAGCCUUGUUAUCCUUUGUUUUAUAUCUAAUAUCCACUUAUGAUUGAAUGCAUACCAUGUUUUUAUUUAUGAGAUUGGGUUACUUCAUUCAGGAUGUCUUUUUCUAGUUCCAUUCAUUUGCCUGAAAAUUGCAAGAUGUCAUUUUUUUUUAACCACUGACUAAUACUCCAUUGUGUAAAUGUACCAUAUUUAGUUUUUCCAUUCUUUGGUUCAUGGGCAUCUAGGUUGUUUCCAAGUUCUGGCUGUUAAAAAUAAUACUGCUACAAACAUAUGUUGAACAAAUGUCAUUGGGGUAUGAUUGUGCAUCCUGUGGGUUUAUGCCCAAGAGUGGUAUUGCUGGGCAUGAGGUAGAUUGAUACCCAGUUUUCUGAGAAAGUGCCAUACUGAUUUCCAAAGUGGUUGUACAAGUCUGCACUCCCACCAGCAAUUGAGAAGUGUUCCCUUAUACCAUAUGCUCUCCAGCAUGAGCUGCCAUCAGUGUUUUUGAUCUUAGCCAUUCUGAUAAGUGUAAGGUGGCAUUUCAGUGUUGUUUUGAUUUACAUUUCACUGAUGGUUAAGGAUGUUGAAUAAUUACUUACAAUUUCAGUCAUUUGAGUUUUUUCUUUUGAUAAUUUUCUGUUUAGAUAUGCACCCCAUUUUUAAAUUGGAAUAUUUAGUAUUUUGCUGUCUAUUUUCUUGAGUUCUUUAUGUAUUUUGGAGAUCAGCCCUCUGUCAUAUGUGCGAAUGGUGAAGAUCCAAUUCUGUAGGCUGCCAUUUUGUCUUACUGAUCAUAUCCUUUACCUUAAAAAAGCUUCUCAGUUUCAGGAGGUUCUAUUUAUUAAUUGUUGCUCUCAGUGUCUGUGCUACUGGUGAUAUAUGAGACAGGGUUUCUCUGUGCAGCCCUGGGUGUCCUGGAACUCAUUCUUUAGACUAAGCUGGUCUUGAGGAUGAGAGAUCUGUCUCAGUGCCCUGGGUAUUGAGAUUAAAAGUAUGCCACGAUGUCUAUGGAUCCACCAUUCUGAAUACACCCAAUGUCACCAGAUUCAGAUUUUGAGACAGAUUGCUUCUCUGAAUUUCUUUCAAUUCUCUUGUAACAAACAAACAACUUGGCAGAAGAAAGUUGUGGAUCAAUGAUGAGUAACCAACAACAGUCAGUAAUGAGAAGGGAACAAGAGAGGGAGUGGCAAAUAGAAAGAGAAAGACAGACAUACAGAGAGACAAGGACUAAGAAGUGGAAACACCACAGGACUAAAAGGCAUGCACUCAAUAACCCCUACUCCACCUCCACAAGUCUUUCUUAUAUUUCACUCAAUUACAAAUUCACUAAGAUAUUGGUAUUGUAAACAUGAUUAUACUAGUAUCUUUGUGAUCCAACAGCCCUCAAAUAUCUCUAUCAGUUGGAUGCUAGGCUUUCCACAUGUGAGCCUGUUGGAUUAAACAUACAAAUUUAAUACUAGUAGUAUUAAUAGUAGGAUAUGAGCUGUGUGUAAAGAAUCCUGUGAAAAUAUUCAGUUUCCUCACAUUAAAAAAAAAGAUAGACCCAGGGUUGAACCUGGCCUGCAAAUGGCUUAAGGGGAAAUAAUACCUCCUGAUUUGAUGUGGCUACGAAUGACAUUCAUACUGAUUUUCUGUAGAUGAUGGAAAAAACCUGCAAUAUUUCACACAAACUUUGUAUUUUGUUUUUUACUUCAAAGAUCUCUUAAUAAGAUAGUCAUCUUUGUAAUGGCAUCUUGACUUGCCAGUGAACUUGUAGUGGUGCCCACACACUUCAGGCUUGGUUUCAGGUGCAGACUUGACCCAUUAUAAGGUUGAGGAGGGAAUGGCUCAUGCUCUCAUCAGAAGGGCAGAGCCUGCAUCUUCUGGAGCAAGAAGCCCUCAGGCAGUUAUUUACUCUUAGCUUUUUAAGUGUUUGCCUAAUAAACUCCUAUUUAUCAUCUAUCUUGGGUCUGUUGGUCUCAUUUAAACCCUGCCUUCACAACUUCACACUUUCAAGUAAUACUGUUGUUUUGAAAGCUUGUAUUAAGCUCAUGCCUGGACAGUCUCUGGGACAACAUACAAAUAGUUUGUUUGUUUUCAUUUCUCAGUUUCUUCAUUCUUAUAGAUUUUUCUACUCUGUAUUGUUGGCACAUUUGUCUUUCUUUAUAUUCUAUCCAUAUAUUUCUUAGUUUUCCUACCAGACAAGUCUUCCUUUCUCUAGAAUUUAAUUUUCUCCUAUAACAGUCAUCUUACUCAUCACUUUCCCAUUCUCCAAAAAUUGCUUUAGCUUUCUUUAGCCAAAGUCACCUUAUUGAAACUGCUUCCAUGGAUUGUGCUUCAGUGUAAUUAGCACUCUCUGGAAGGGUGAUGGAGAGUGAAAUAUUUCAUAUAUAAACAUUUAAUAUCCUCAGAAGUUUUAGAGACCAUUGAAAAAUAAAUGUGUAUUUGUUAGUUGCAUCAUGAAAAUCAACUCUGCUCCCAGUCACUUUCUUUUGUGACUGUGACUACUGCUAUGUUGGCUAUGUGAAAAAAAAAAACAUCAACACACCCAUUAACAAAUGGGCUAUAAUAAAAAUAGAACACAGAGUUGGACUUCAGGGCAUUGGGCAUAGUUAGAUGGAGGCAGCAGUUGAUGUAUACAGUCAAACUCCAUUGUACAAAUGUAUGAAGAGUGACACAAUAAUAGUAUUAAAAACAUAUUAAAAAUUCUCUUCUGCAGAAGUGAAUCUACAUCCCUGCCUCCUACUCUGGACAAUAUAUUAUAAACCACAUCAGAAAAUGCCCUUUUUGCAUCAUACACUGCUAUUCAUACCCUAACCCCCCAGUGACUCUGGGCUGACAGCUUUAUACACAGCCCUCUCAACUGUACUUUUCACUCACAUUCUCCUGCUGGGUACUGUCUGUGGUGUAUUCUUCAUUGUUUACUGAGUACUAAUUCACAAUGCAUCCUAAGUCUAGGAAUCUAAAGGAAGAGGCUGGCUCUGAAUGGCUGAGUCUGGAAAAGGGAUAGUAAGUGUAGACACACCUUUCUUUUUGCUUCUACCUUUACACAUCUAGAAAGCUGUCUUGUGUUUUGAUUACAUACCUGUAAAUCUGCUAAUGGCAGUAACACUAUUUCUUGUGUCCACAUACUCUUUAAAGUCAUGAGCAUUCAUGGAAAUGUCAGAGAACUUAAGAAAUGUUUCACAGUUGGCACAUUCAAACAGAGAAAAAGGAACUUAUGUAACUUUUGAACAUUAAAAGUGAUAAUAUCUGGCCAUUUUCACCUUUUGAAUAGAAACUGUCCUGUGAUUUUUAAAAUAAAUGUUAGAACUGUAGUAAUAAUAUACAGGUAAGUAAAAAGUAUAUGAGCAUAUCCAAUAAUCACUAAUAUUUCCAUAGGAAGAUGUAUCAAAUAUAAAAGCUUUAUCACAUGUUUUUAUAUGUUCUUGAUUUUUCUAGAAGAAAAAUUGAUUCCAAGAAAUACUUCAACUGUGCAUUUAUGGCAUCACAAUAUUUGUUUUAAACAUCUCUUCAUUUUCUUGUUUAUUUAUGUGUUUGCACCUUCAUGAGUUUGUAGGCACCAUAUGUGUGCAGUGUCCACAGAAGUCAGAAGGAUGCAUCCAAUAAAUCCUCUGGAUCUGGCAUUACAGGUGUUUGUAAGGCACCAUAUGGGUGGCCGCUGGGAACAGAACAUACAAGAGCAGCAAGUGCUAUUAACUGAUGAGCAAUUUCAGCAGAUCAUUUGUUUCUAUGAUAAGAAAUGAAACAUAAGGUUAUAAAAAUUCUUUAUAGUAUAUAACAUAAUUUUCUUUAAUUUUGAUUAGGAAACUACAGUGGGAUCUUCAUUGUCUUCUGAAAUAUGAAGAGAAGUCUCAAUGAGUGGAAUGGUAAAGCCAUACGUAAGUGUAAGAUAAAUAUGUAAGACAAAGCAGAAGAAAAACACAGAUUACUUAUCAUUUUUUUAGAAUGUUCUUAAUAAGUAAGUUACAUGUUAAUUAGCCUAUCACUGUGCAUGGAUGAUUGUAGGUAGUUUAAACAAAUAUGUGAAAUGUAGAUUCAUUUGUUACUUUACAUUUUUUGAAUCAGUGUAUUAACUAUAAACAGGCUAAUAAACGCAGGCUUGCCUCAAAUUCUAGAUGCUGGCACGACAAUGUCCUUAAUGUUGUGACUACAUGUGUAGUCUACCAGCCUGCCACUUACAUUUCUGGUAUUGCUACAUGGUGAAAUGAGAGUAAACUUUCAUGAUUGCUCAGAUUCUUUGUGUACUUUGAGUUAAAUUCUUAUCCCUGAUUUACAAGUGUAUUAAAUAAAUGUGUACUAUUAAUUUCAUAAGUGUUUCAUAUUUCAUGAUGAGUAAGAUUUGCAAUCAGUCUAUCCCAGGUCAGUUACAAUUUUUGUUAAAUUCAUUUUUAAUUUCCUUAUUAUCAGGCAUACAAUUUCAUUUAUUCAACUUUUUCAUCGUGUGUAUACCAUAAACUCAUCAUUACAAAGAAAAGUGUAUAACCCACCCCCAAAAUUCCUCUGACCUGCCUUACUUCAUAAUUGCCUACCCUUUUUUCCUUUGAAGAUUAAAAAAAUAUACAUACACAUAAUUGGGUAUGUGUAUAUACACAUAUAAAAUAUAUACAUAAUUAUGUAUUUGUAUGUGAAUAUGUGUAUGGGAUUGCACGUGCCUGCAAGGCUUCAGAUGUCCUGAAGCUCGAUUUACAGAUUCUGGGUGGUGAAAACUGAACUGUGUUGUUCUGUAGGAACAGCAAGUCUCUUUUAUCACUGAAUUUUAUAUUUGGGUUUUUAUUAGCAUAACUAUUCUUAAAUGUAUUAUAUCUUUGAGUACCCAACAAUUUAUUUCUUUUCUUAAAUAGUAGCUGCAUUUUAAUUAAUGACACAGUCUUUGAGUGACCUUUGCAUUGCUUCUAUGUUUUAAGAUAUUAAAAUAAAAUAUACUGAACAUUUGUGUGCAAUGACUUUGAAUAGAUACACGUUUUAAUUUCUUUGGACAAAUUCAUGGGAGGGAAGCAUGAAAUUCACAUUAUAUUUGUACAUGGAAAAAUUAAACAAUUUUCAGUGUUUUCCAGUGUGGCCAUAACAUGUCCCAUUCUCCAUAGCAGUGUAAUUGGGUAGCACUGCUCCUGAUUCUUUUCUACCACCAAAAUGUUUGGCUUUUCCAUUUUAUCCAUUUUGUAGAUGCAACCUGGUACCUCAAGUAAUAUUAAUUUUCAGUCCUGAAAUGACUAAUUUCAGUUAGUCAGUGGUUCAAUUGACCUUCGAACGUGGAGAAAUGAACACGUUUGAAGGAUAAGAGAAAGAGAAGAAGAAAGGGUUCAUGAGAAUGUGUAAAAAGAAAGCUGUAGGGCUACAGAAGAUAAAUGGCUAGUAAUGAUAAGAAGCAAAGGCUAUAAGGAAACAAACCGAAUGCUUACUUUUAAGGAGUUAUUGCCCUUCUGGGAAAAAAUAAAUUUCUAAUUUCAGAGCAGGACCUGAUAAACAAGACUGUCAGAGAAGAAGUGCAUGUCAGACCUCACCUUUCAUUUACCAAGCCAAGAACCAAUGUGGGUAAAAAUACCAAAUGAAAACUGAAGAAGAACUAAGAAUAUUAAAAUUUGUCUUUUCAUUAUUAAGAGUUUGCCGUGCAUCUGUGGUUGGAAUAUUAUUAAUAGGAAGAGAAUUAAAGACUUUGAGGUGCUAUGCAGCUGUUGAUAGAUAAUUCUUCCUAACUGGAUAGAUAAUGGUAAAAUUAUACUCAUGCUAUGGGAAGACUAAUUAUCCAGUUGGAAAUUAUGAGAAUUAUGGGCAAAGAGUAAAAUGCAAAGAGAGAAAGAUAUGACAAUGCUGCAUAGGAGGAAGUCACUCCGAGAGAAAAGGGAGAGGCAGGUGGAAAAGUCAAAACACCAGGAGAGAGAAUGGGUGCUUUCCUCACAUGGAAAAUCUUUUGUAAAACUAACACUUGAAUUUAUGUCUCACAAUAUUUCUUCAGUUUCUCGGACAGUUCAUCUAAGAUGUUGCCUUGUUGGGGUACACCACAGCUGAUUAGAGAGAACUUGAUCAUGGAAACCAAAGAGUGCCCUGAUCUCUCUGGACAUUUCCUGUCUCAACCCACUGUGAUCUUGCAGCCACCUCUAGUUCUUUGACUUGCUGUCACAUUUACAGUGAAGCUAGUUAUUAUUACUUUUUUCAUUCUUUUUUGUUGUAGGCUUUUCUUAAACAGAAUAGAAACAUUCAAAAAUUUCUCCAAGACAUGAAAGAUUCUAUUUUUCAGCCAAACUCCUUUUUUUUUCACAGGCAGGACACAUAAAGUUUAAUUUCCUGACCUCUUCUACUGAUGUAUAGCAGUCAUUUUUCCACAACAUUAGACUAGGUAAUCUAUUCUUAGGGGAACCUUGUCAAGCCUGACUGAUAUUCUGCAUUUUUCUUUCUUUAUUUUUUUCAAUUUUAUUUUUUGCUCCUUCCCCUCCUUCAUAGUUUCUGCUAUGGAAAUAUGGCAAUAAUAAUACAAUAUCUAUAGAAAAUGGAAUGCAUUUGCCAACUGAUGAUGCUUAUAUGAAGCAGGAGAUAGAAAGGUCAGGAUUGGAAAUGAAAUAAAACAUAAAUUUGCAUCUUGAGAAAAUCCAUGGACUUGGUGACUAUGUUCCCAUCUGUAGAAUUAUUUUGAGUCUAAUUUUCUACUUUAAGAUGAAUUUUGCUGUUAGAGAAAAGUGUUGGCACUGACAGCCACAGAGACCAGGACUUACACAGAAGACACUUUGAGAUACAGCUGGGUUUCCAGUCUCCUGAGAGAACAACUCACCCCAGUUGUUUAUGGGGACCAUGGAAAGGCUGCCUCAUUUCCUCCAGGCAGAGGACACUGCCACGCAGAAACUAGGUGCAAUUUGAUUGUUCCAAUAAUGCUUGGCACUUCCUGUUUUCCUCACUUGUCAUCCAGUAGUCCAUCUGAAAACGGAGAGAAUUCGACAUGGUCUUAUUUUCUCUCUGGACAAA